UACGGAGGGGGCUAGCGUUGUUCGGAAUUACUGGGCGUAAAGCGCACGUAGGCGGCUUGGUAAGUUAGAGGUGAAAGCCUGGAGCUCAACUCCAGGAUUGCCUUUAAGACUGCCGAGCUAGCAGGUGAGAGAGGUGAGUGGAAUUCCGAGUGUAGAGGUGAAAUUCGUAGAUAUUCGGAAGAACACCAGUGGCGAAGGCGGCUCACUGGCUCAUACUGGACGCUGAGGUGCGAAAGCGUGGGGAGCAAACAGG
rnacentral:rRNA from 1 species